AUACAGGGAAUGAAGUUCUCCCUUGGGAAUACCAGAACUGCUUAUUGAGCUGAUGACUUCUACGA
rnacentral:ncRNA from 1 species